UUUUUUUUGUUGAAGAUAAAAGAAUUUUCCUCACUAGUGUCCGCAUUUCUUUUUCUAAACUGAUGUUACGUUCUGGUAGUGUUGGAAUGGAAUGUGCCUGAGUAGAGCGCACCGGAUAUGGAGGAUUCCCAUAGCGGACACCACUAGUUUGGAAUUGGGUCAUAAUUGAUUGAUUUAUAUGUUAGCUUCCGAAUUCUCUGUUUUCUUUCAUCGUUGAAUAGCUAAACGGAAUUGUUGAAAUUUUAAGUCGAUGGAGAACCCUCGACGACCACAUGAAGGGAGCCCUUUCUAUGGAGGGAUGCUAUGUGAAUGAAGGAGAUGUUGAUAAAAUGUUGCACUACUGUUGCAAAUACACCAAUAAAUGACACAGGUAUACUGCGGGAGGAGAACUCAUGAAAGAUCCAAGAUUGAUAAAUUUUAACACGAUGAAGUAAGAUGCAUGCUCAUCAUUUAUCUGGGCAAUCUAGGGGUAAUACAGCUAAAAGGGAAUGACGUUAUAUCUCUCUGAAAGGACCCGUGGAGAAGUGGUUUGGCUGAUGUUGUAGAAGUGGCACAAUAUACAAGUGUUGGCUUGGUUUAACAUCCUGGCGAAUCUCUUCUUCUUCACUCGCAAUACAUGGUUCUGAUUGAUUCCAUGAGCCUUCGUCCCAGCUUACUGUUUAGGUAUCUGGCAUUGAAACUAGGUGGCUUGGAAAACUGUCCCAUGUGGAGGUUAUCGCCAUUCCAUCCAACAAUUCUUGUAAGCGUUGUGCAGUUUGCCCAAUUCGCUGUUUACUUGUAGAAUAGUUCCAGAGGUUGGUGGUGAUGACACGGUUGCAUGUAUCAUGAUGAAAUCGGGCAGGACUCAGAAUCCAAUUUUGCUGCAUGGUACUGUCGUUUGGGUUACUCUUUGGUGGAAAGGAAAAACAUGGAGUUCACGUUCAGUACUCUUCUUUUGUUGUCCGUAUAUCCGCUUAAGUUUAUUUAUCAUGGACAAACUAAAACUUGUUUUUCUGAUCUUCUAUGAGAAGGAAAUAAUUUCUAACUAGUUUGUUUAUACCUUCAUAGAAUUUUGGAUUUGGUGGUCAAUGGAAAGAGCAAGCUUUGUUCUAUGA